rnacentral:rRNA from 1 species
AUCAGCUAGUUGGUGGGGUAAAAGCCUACCAAGGCGAAGACGGGUAGCCGGCCUGAGAGGGUGAACGGCCACACUGGGACUGAGACACGGCCCAGACUCCUACGGGAGGCAGCAGUGAGGAAUUUUCCGCAAUGGGCGCAAGCCUGACGGAGCGACGCCGCGUGAGGGAUGACGGCCUUCGGGUUGUAAACCUCUUUUAUUAAGGAAAAAGGCAAUCGUGCUAACACCACGGUUGUUUGAUGGUACUUAUUGAAUAAGCCCCGGCUAACUACGUGCCAGCAGCCGCGGUAAUACGUAGGGGGCGAGCGUUGUCCGGAGUUACUGGGCGUAAAGAGCGUGUAGGCGGUUGAAAAAGUCAGGUGUGAAAUUCUUCGGCUCAACCGAGGGACUGCGCCUGAAACUUUUCGACUGGAGUUUGGGAGGGGCAACUGGAAUUCCUGGUGUAACGGUGAAAUGUGUAGAUAUCAGGAGGAACACCCGUGGCGAAGGCGGGUUGCUGGACCAAAACUGACGCUGAGACGCGAAAGCGUGGGUAGCAAACAGGAUUAGAUACCCUGGUAGUCCACGCUGUAAAC